UGGGGAAUUUUGGACAAUGGGCGAAAGCCUGAUCCAGCAAUGCCGCGUGUGUGAAGAAGGCCUUCGGGUUGUAAAGCACUUUUGUCCGGAAAGAAAUCCUUGGCUCUAAUACAGUCGGGGGAUGACGGUACCGGAAGAAUAAGCACCGGCUAACUACGUGCCAGCAGCCGCGGUAAUACGUAGGGUGCAAGCGUUAAUCGGAAUUACUGGACGUAAAGCGUGCGCAGGCGGUUUGCUAAGACCGAUGUGAAAUCCCCGGGCUCAACCUGGGAACUGCAUUGGUGACUGGCAGGCUAGAGUAUGGCAGAGGGGGGUAGAAUUCCACGUGUAGCAGUGAAAUGCGUAGAGAUGUGGAGGAAUACCGAUGGCGAAGGCAGCCCCCUGGGCCAAUACUGACGCUCAUGCACGAAAGCGUGGGGAGCAAACAGGAUUAGAUACCCUGGUAGUCCACGCCCUAAAACGAUGUCAACUAGUUGUUGGGGGAUUCAUUUCCUUAGUAACGUAGCUAACGCGUGAAGUUGACCGCCUGGGGAGUACGGUCGCAAGAUUAAAACUUCAAAUGGAAUUGACGGGGUCAUAGCUGUUUCCU
rnacentral:rRNA from 1 species